CGGUGAUCCGGACUUCCUCAGGGGUAUCGUCCGUUUCAGUCCUCAGUGCAGGAUCAAUCUGAUCGCUCCCGGGUGCCCGCUCUCUUUUUAAACCACAUGGCCACUCCUUCUUUUGUCCGUGGGCCAAUCCGAUACUCUUAGUUACAGCUGAAACUCCUUUUCGGGAAAUUUGGUGACGUCACGUGUUCUGACGUACGGAUGGAUGUAAGCGUGUGCGUUC